rnacentral:rRNA from 1 species
GACGAACGCUGGCGGCGUGCUUAACACAUGCAAGUCGAACGGAGAGACCCGGCUUAGGUGGUGUGCUCGAGUGGCGAACGGGUGAGUAACACGUGAGUAGCCUGCCCUGGACUUUGGGAUAACUUCAGGAAACUGGGGCUUAUACCGGAUAGGAGCUCCUGCUGCAUGGUGGGGGUUGGAAAGGUUCGGCGGUUGGGGAUGGACUCGCGGCUUAUCAGCUUGUUGGUGGGGUAGUGGCUUACCAAGGCUUUGACGGGUAGCCGGCCUGGGAGGGUGACCGGCCACAUUGGGACUGAGAUACGGCGCAGACUCCUCCGGGAGGCAGCAGUGGGGAAUAUUGUACAAUGGGCGGAAGCCUCAUGCAGCACCGCCGCGUGCGGGAUGACGGCCUUCUGGUUGUAAACCGCUUUCGCCUGUGACGAAGCGUGAGUGACGGUACCGUGUAAAGAAGCACCGGCUAACUACGUG